CUUGUGGGGAACUCACACCUGACAAAGGACCUUUCUUAUGGGGAAAGUUCAGAAUUGUGGGGAACUCUCUCGUUCCCCACAAAUAUGGUCAUGGGGUUUUUUGAAUUCUACGUGUUCUACUGAUAAUAUUUAUUCGAUUUGUGGUCAUUUUUGAAAAAAUCCCCAUAAGUCCGUAAAAUUGACUCGCAGUAAUUUUCUCACUGCACCGUAAAACGAAUGUUUGAGGAUGCUGGGAAAUGUUCAUUCGGAACGCAGCGGAAUUUAAACUGGUCCCCAUAUGAUACCAAUUUAUUGCGGGCAAUGGCUGCUCCGAGAAUAUGUGGCCUAAUGGCUAUCCUGUAAGAACAAACUACGGAUUUAUAUGAAUUCAGCACCCCCGGGAUAUGGUUUUCGGGUUUUCACCACAAGAGCAAAUUAUACAACUUUAUUCUUGAAAAUGUUAGAGACUGAGACUUGGAGUCAAAGUCAACAGACACGCUUGCAUGGACAUGAAGGAUGUAAAGAACUAGAGUAUUAUAACUGAAAGCAUUUUGUCUGGAUUUGUGUAUGGAAACAGAAGGAUUUAGUAUUGGUAUCCUGAAUUUUUGUCAACUUCUAGCCAAGAUCCUGUACUUAAGCUGAAUGUGGAGGACAGAUGUACACACAGUACUAGUAUAGAGGGUAUUAUCUCGGUACCUUAAAACUCCAAACGACAGGGAGAAGAAGAAAACUGCAUAUUUCCGAUGUAUCUUCACAGCAACAUGACCCAAAGCACUACCUUUAAAGGAUUUGAUUUGACAUUAAGGAAGUAAAAAAAUGAAAGCAUUAGUCAUAAAGAAAAUUAAAGAACUUUAUGUCUGAAUAUUAUAUCAACAAUACCAUAGAUCUAAAGAUGGAUUAUUUUGCCUUAUAAUUUAUAUUAAUGCAUGUACAUGUAAUUUUAUUCUUUUUAUAUAUACAAUCAUGUAGUGUUACCAUUUUUCACAAAGCUUAAAAAGUUAUGUAGGGCCACACCAAUUUAAUUUCUUGUUCGUAGGACAUUUGAUUUAAAAAAAGUACAAGCAGUUAAAUGAUAAUAUUAUUACUCUUUGCUGGGCAAUUUUUUAGGCGGAGCGUGAAAAUUUGAGCGGACAAUUAUAUUUUUUCUGAUUUACAGAGUAAGCAGAUAUAAAAUACAAUAAAUAGAGCGGAAAUGGAACAGAAAAUAGCACAGAAUUCCUAUGGUGCGAGAAAUUGAAAUUAAUAUUAUUUGUAUGGUUUUGUUUAAAUAAGCGCGUGGGUCCGACGAACAAAAAUUUUCAUUAGUGUGGCCUAGAUCAUUUAGAUUCAAUUCAUUUUUAGCUCACCUGAGCUGAAAGCUCAAGUGAGCUUUUCUGAUCACCCGGUGUCCGUCGUCCGUCCGUCCGUCCGUCCGUCCGUCCGUCUGUCUGUCCGUCCGUCCGUCCGUCUGUAAACUUUUCACAUUUUCAACUUCUUCUCAAGAACCACUGGGCCAAUUUUAACCAAACUUGGUACAAAGCAUCUCUGGGUAAAGGGGAAUUUAAAUUGUUAAAAUCAAGGGCCAAGACCCCUUCCAAGGGGAGAUAAUCAAGAAAAUACGAAAAUAGGGUGGGGUCAUUAAAAAAUCUUCUUCUCAAGAACCACAGGGCCAGAAAAGCUGAAACUUAUGUGGAAGCAUCCUUGGGUAGUGUAGAUAUUAAAUUGUAAAAAUCAUGACCCCCGGGGGUAGGGCGGGGCCACAAUAGGGAAUCCAAGUUUUACAUAGAAAUAUAUAGAACAAAUCUUUAAAAUUCUUCUUCUCAAGAACCACUGGGCCAGGAAAGCUGAAACUUAUGUGGAAGCAUUCUUGGGUAGUGUAGAUAUUAAAUUGUUAAAAUCAUGACCCCCGAGGUUAGGGCGGGGCCACAAUAGGGAAUCCAAGUUUUACAUAGAAAUAUAUAGAACAAAUCUUUGAAAAUCUUCUUCUCAAGAACCACUAGGCCAGGAAAGCUGAAA